rnacentral:rRNA from 1 species
UACGUAGGUGGCAAGCGUUGUCCGGAAUGAUUGGGCGUAAAGGGCGCGCAGGCGGCCGGCCAAGUCUGUCUAAAAAGUGCGGGGCUUAACCCCGUGAGGGGAGAGAAACUGGCCGGCUGAGAGUGUCGGAGAGGAAAGCGGAAUUCCUAGUGUAGCGGUGAAAUGCGUAGAUAUUAGGAGGAACACCGGUGGCGAAAGCGGCUUUCUGGACGACAACUGACGCUGAGGCGCGAAAGCCAGGGGAGCAAACGGG